rnacentral:snoRNA from 1 species
AAGCCAGCUAUUAAAUCUGCUUAUCUGUGUUUGCAGAAAUUUACCAAAAGCUGACAAUAUUAAUGCAAUGUUACAAGCGUUAAAGACAUGACAUCAAAGUCAUUAAGGUCCCUGAAAAUGGCUACACCU